AACGCAAAUUGCGCCUUCUUUCGGAAGGCAUGUCUGUUUGAGGGCACCAUUUAACAAAUAAUGUGCGCGUCGUUUUUACGAGUGACGUGCGCACGUUGAUGAGCUUUUCCGAAAAAACCAGGUUUUUUUGGUGGCGCAUAAUGAACAGCGUGGGCUUUUUCUUCGAUUCUCGUGUAGUAAAUCUUCAACGCUUGGGUUGAGAAAAAGUGCGUGCCGCGCAAUGGGUGUGGCGAAUUUUACCCCUGCCCCAAUGCCACUCUUUCCCUGCGAAAGAACAUCUUUUAUUUAGGGCCUCAAAUCAGACAAGAGUACCCGCUGAACUUAA
rnacentral:misc_RNA from 1 species